UGUCAGGGUUCUAGGAAGGAGGACCCAAUUGCAGAGUGAGUGAACAAUGGUUUAUUGACAAAACAGACUGAAACAAGAGGGUAGUGAAGUGCACAAAUACCACAACAGGAACACAAUAAACAGGAACAGCUAGGGAAGGCCACUGGGUCAGCUUCAGGAAACUUGCAGAAUACAUUGGCAACAGAGGGGGCGGCAAGACCAGGCUGAUGGAGAAGACCACACAAGGCAUCAUAGAGCAGAGCUCAAACAUUAGGUGACCGCCGACUCAGAAGCAGACCAAGAGCCAGGCAGAUAGUACAAGGGCAGGACACACGGGAACAGAUCAGGAACUCUAACACAAGACUAGACACGACAAAGCUCCACAGAAACACAAAUUAACCCCAAGAUAAGGGAAAAAAAUAAACCAAUGAACUAAUAAAGAGUAAAGUAACAAAAAUAAGAAAUAAUUACCAAUUUAACCAACUUAAAGAAUAUCAAACAAAACCAAGAAUCAGGACUAGAAAAACUAAAUUACAAGUAAAAUAAGAGAACAGAUUACCAACCUAAGGAGCAAGACAAGAACACGAAACAACAAGGACUAGACAAAACAAGGGCACAAGACCAACCAGACAGGGAGACACAGGCACAUAUAGCCAUAUCCACAGACAGCUACGAAGACGGUGACAGAGGGGGUGAAAAUGACCACGAACCAGCAAAAACAAAAGGGUAAGGAGCACUAUAAAUAGGGAGGAAAACACAUGAGGAACAGGUGAGCACAAUUAGACUAACAAGGCUAACAAGAGGGUGACGUAGAAAUGAAACAAGGAGGAGGGACUAAGGGAGCACAUGGCAGAGAAAACAACUAACAAGGCCAUGUGCUGACAAGACAUAAACAAGAAACAAAACCCAGUGACAGUGCAAAACCCUGACACUACCCCCCUCCCAAUGGACGCCUCCUGGCAUCCACUCAGACUACACAAUAGUUGCAAGAGUAGAAAGUGCAGGUAGCGGGGGGGGGGGGGUUGUGGUGAAAGUCAGCAUCAAGCGGUAGCACUGUGGUUGAGCAGACUGUUCAGGAACAUCUUCAGAGGUCAUGACAGGGAUAGUAUACUGGGGGAUAGCCUCCACAGGUGGAACAUGACUAGCUGGAUCACUCUGAGGGACUCGUUAGAAGCAGCAGAUAGCUGGUCUGGUAUGAUCUCAGUGGUGCAACUUCUAGGCAGGAACAUCCUCUGAGGGACUCGUCAGAAGCAGCAGUUAGCUGAUCCAGUAUGAUCUCAGUGAGUGCAACUUCUAGCAGGAACCACCUCCUUGGGCUUGACAAGACAAACAGGAACAAUCUUCAAGGAUGGGACAAAACAGACAGGAUAGCCUCUUCAGGUGGCUGACAACUAGUAGGAACAUCCUCUGAGGGACUCGUCAGAAGCAGCCAAUUGCUGGUCUGGUAUGAUCUCAGUGGGCGCAACUUCUAUCAGGAUCAUCCUCUGAGGGACUCAUCAGAAGCAGCAGAUAGCUGGUCUGGUAUGAUCUCAGUGACUGUACCUUGACUAGCAGGAACAACCUUUGUGGGCUUGACAAGACAAACAAGAACGCAUCUCCAUGGCCAUGACCCAACUGGCAAGGGCGGCCUCAGGACAUAACAGGACAGACAGGAACAUUUUAUAUGGCCAUAACUUGACAGACAGGAACAUUUUAUAUGGCCAUAACUUGACGGUAGGAACAACUAUGGCCAUGACCCAACUGGCAGGAACGACCUCUAUAGGAGUGACAGGACAAGCAGGAACACUUUGUAUGGCCCAGACAUGAUGGGUAGGGACAACCUCUGAAGGCAUGACUUGACAACAUCUUCCGUGGACAUGACAGGAGUGAACUCUGGAUGCUUGACAACAUCUUCCGUGGACAUGACAGGAGUGAACUCUGGGGACUAGACAGCAUCUGUGGACAUGACAGGAGUGAUCUCUGGACACUUGACAAAUGACAGGAGAAACUUCAGUGGGCAUGGUGACAAGAUUGACUUCUGAUGACAGGAUGUGAGAGGCUAGAACAGUCUCCGGUACAACUUCUGUAACAGUCAAAUAGGCUGGGAGGUUUGGUAGAAUACCCUUGUAACUAUGACUUGAGGUUCUGACAACAAGACCACCGAACUAAACACCUCUGGACUAGGUUCCAAUAUUGACUGGGGAAGGACUGUGGGGGCUAUUGGAAGAGACUCGGGGGCUGCAGGAACUGAUUCUUGAUGCCCUCCGGGGCUGGAGCCGACACUGGAGCGAGCUCUGGGGCUGGAGCCGACACUGGAGCGGCUUGGAUAACUUUAAUUCUGACUGGAAUGAUUUGAAGCAAAGAUGACUACAGCAAUCCCAGCAGAGUUUGAAACUGACUUGACGGAUUCAGAAAUUGAACUUGACUAGAUCAGGGAUAGCUGCAGCAAUCAGCCAACUCAGGGGUAUCUGAAACUAACAAGACAUGAUUAACAUUCAGGGCAAAAAAAAUUCACUAGAUAAAAUGAAAAAAAAAAAACCCGGAGUAGUGAUGCUCAUCUGCUGGGUCCUGACUUGGGCUGGUUCGUAAUGUCAGGGAUCUGAGAAGGAGGACCCAGUUAGAGAGUGAGUGAACAAUGGUUUAUUGACAAAACAGACUGAUACAAGAGGGUAGUGAAGUGCACAAAUACCACAACAGGAACACAAUAAACAGGAACAGCUAGGGAAGGCCACUGGGUCAGCUUCAGGAAACUUGCAGAAUACAUUGGCAACAGAGGGGGCGGCAAGACCAGGCUGAUGGAGAAGACCACACAAGGCAUCAUAGAGCAGAGCUCAAACAUUAGGUGACCGCCGACUCAGAAGCAGACCAAGAGUCAGGCAGAUAGAACAAGGGCAGGACACACGGGAACAGAUCAGGAACUCUAACACAAGACUAGACACGACAAAGCUCCACAGAAACACAAAUUAACCCCAAGAUAAGGGAAAAAAAUAAACCAAUGAACUAAUAAAGAGUAAAGUAACAAAAAUAAGAAAUAAUUACCAAUUUAACCAACUUAAAGAAUAUCAAACAAAACCAAGAAUCAGGACUAGAAAAACUAAAUUACAAGUAAAAUAAAAGCAAGAACAAACAGAUUACCAACCUAAGGAGCAAGACAAGAACAUGAAACAACAAGGACUAGACAAAACAAGGGCACAAGACCAACCAGACAGGGAGACACGGGCACAUAUAAAGCCAUAUCCACAGACAGCUAUGAAGACAGUGACAGAGGGGGUGAAAAUGACCACGAACCAGCAAAAACAAAAGGGUAAGGAGCACUAUAAAUAGGGAGGAAAACACAUGAGGAACAGGUGAGCACAAUUAGACUAACAAGGCUAACAAGAGGGUGACGUAGAAAAGAAACAAGGAGGGACUAAGGGAGCACAUGGCAGAGAAAACAACUAACAAGGCCAUGUGCUGAC
ensembl:lncRNA